rnacentral:rRNA from 1 species
AUGGCAAGCGGUCCUGACAUGGUGGUGCUGGGAGCAAGUGGAGCGUUUUCUUGCAGACGGGGAACCUCUUGGCAGCUUCUUCCUUCGUGCACGGGCACACGGCGCGGUGGAUCACGCCGUGGGACCACACACCUUGGAGCGAGGACAGGACGUCGUCUUGACGCGGAGGAGGCGGAGGCGCUCCAUGAGCCGCACGUCUCGGUGCGAGGGUGCCAUCUUGGUGCGGAGGGGGCGGAGGCGCUCCGUGAGCCACAUCGCCCGCAGCCGGGGGCAGGCGAGGCAGCAAUAGGGAUGGUGCAGGAGAGCCCCCCGCGGCGCUGA